CAAAAAAUUCGUUAUUUAGCGGGGGUUAGUUUUAAUAACCCCCGCAAAUUUCAUUAAAUUUAUAUUAAUUAGGGAUCUUUUAAUAACCCCGCAGAUUUAGUUAAGUGACUCCUGGUUUUCAGUGUUUGAAUCUCACUCACUUUUUCUCUCACUCACGUUAAUUUCGUUUUCAAUCUCUCGCUCUCUCGUUUCACACUCUCCAGAUCCAUACUAUUGAUUCCUUUUCCUUCUCACCAUCAAGAACUCUCACUCUCAACUCUAAACCCUUGAUUUUCAUCUCUGAACCCUCGAUCUCAAUCUCUCUCAGCCAUGGAUUCUCGAUCCUCAUCUCUCUGAAAUCUCACUCUCCAUUCUCGUUGUUGAAGGUCUCAAUCUCAGUUUCUCUGGAUUCAACGAUUCCUCAAGCUUCACUGAUCGGAUUGCACAAGCUCCACUUUAACCAAAGGUCUCAAUCUCUCUGGAUUCGGCGAUUCCUCAAGCUUCGACCAUGGAUUGAAAGACUCAAUCUCUCUCAGCCACGGAUUGAAGUGUGAUCGUAUUGAGACUAAGGAUUUUUACAACUUGUGUGUUUGGUUCAUCAAUUACCUCUAGCUCUUUAUUUUAGGCAAGUACGAAUCAGAAAUUGAUGUCUACUAACCUCUUAUCUGAUGAAUAUGUGAAUGGAGUGAAAGAGUUGUUACUUUUGCGGUUAAGCAUGCAAGGAACCAAAAUAGUAUCUUAUGCCCUUGAUUAGAUUGUUGUCAUGGAAUUCGAGUUAAUCCAGUUGAAUUAGAAGAACAUCUAAUUUGUAAUGGAAUCAACGUAUAUACGGUGAAAAAAUCAUUGUGGAUAAAGAAUUGUUUCCAGCGAAGCAGGGGCUAGUGUGAGAUUUCCCUCAUCGUUCAUGGAGACAGAUACAUUCGAGGUUGACCAUGUUGAUGAAAUUGUAGAGGCGGUUGAAGAGGAUCUUCGGGUUUUUCCUGAAAUGUUUGACAGGUUGAAAAGU